UACGUAGGGGGCAAGCGUUGUCCGGAAUCAUUGGGCGUAAAGCGCGCGUAGGCGGCCCUGUAAGUCCGCUGUAAAAGUCAAAGGCUCAACCUUUAAAAGCCGGUGGAUACUGCAGGGCUAGAGUCCGGAAGAGGCGAGUGGAAUUCCUGGUGUAGCGGUGGAAUGCGCAGAUAUCAGGAGGAACACCAAUAGCGAAGGCAGCUCGCUGGGACGGUACUGACGCUAAGGCGCGAAAGCGUGGGGAGCGAACAGG
rnacentral:rRNA from 1 species